rnacentral:tRNA from 1 species
GCGGGUGUCGUAUAAUGGUAGUACAAAGGUCUCCAAAACCUUUUGCGUGGGUUCGAUUCCUACUACCCGCGCCA